rnacentral:rRNA from 1 species
CAGCCGCCGCGGUAAUACGUAGGGUGCGAGCGUUACUCGGAUUUACUGGGCGUAAAGCGUGCGCAGGCGGCCCGUUAAGACAGGUGUGAAAUCCCUGGGCUCAACCUAGGAAUUGCGCUUGUGACUGGCGGGCUCGAGUACGGUAGAGGGGGGUGGAAUUCCUGGUGUAGCAGUGAAAUGCGUAGAGAUCAGGAGGAACACCGAUGGCGAAGGCAGCCCCCUGGGCCUGUACUGACGCUCAUGCACGAAAGCGUGGGGAGCAAACAGGAUUAGAUACCCUGGUAGUCCACGCCCUAAACGAUGGGUACUAGCCGUUUGGUGCGCGAUAGCGCUGAGUGGCGAAGCUAACGCGUGAAGUCCCCCGCCUGGGGAGUACGGCCGCAAGGUUGAAACUUAAAGGAAUUGGCGGG